ACUUCAGUAGUGCAGAUGGUUGAGCACGCACCCCCGGAAAGGGUGAAAUGCAGGUUUGAUUCUCGCCUGAUGUU